GGGGACGGAGAGACGACAGAGUCACAGGACAACACCUGGGGGACGGAGAGACAACAGUGUCACAGGACAACACCUGGGGGACGGAGAGACAACAGAGUCACAGGACAACACCUGGGGGACGGAGAGACAACAGUGUCACAGUACAACACCUGGGGGACGGAGAGACAACAGUGUCACAGGACAACACCUGGGGGACGGAGAGACGACAGUGUCACAGGACAACACCUGGGGGACGGAGAGACGACAGUGUCACAGGACAACACCUGGGGGACGGAGAGACGACAGUGUCACAGGACAACACCUGGGGGACGGAGAGACGACAUUGUCUCAACGUUUGCUCCUCCGCCCAUUUCCCUCCAUCAGCAUGUGCCGUCCCUUCACCUGCAGGGACAAUGACAGGGUGAAUGAUGUCAUUCCACAAAUGGAUCCACCUACAGCAUCACUUCAAAGCCUCGUGGGCAACGGAACAUCUCUAAAUACAUGUAUGUGUGUACAUGUAUUUAUUCAUAUUUGUGGUCAAAACACAAAUACUUUUGUUCGUAGUUUACUGAAAAGUUGAUGCUUUGGAGACACCAGGUCGCCCCUGACGACAGCAGUUAAAGUAGCCAUUUAUAUUCAUCAGUCUUUGGAUUUAUUCUUUCUUUCAUCUUUUUGGAGACCAGACAGGAUCUAUUUUUUUCUGCUCCCCUGCUGAUUUCCCGCUGUUACACUUUCUUUUGUUUAGGCCUCUGUAGUUGUUUCUAAGGGUCAUUUAGCAGUUGGGCAAAUUUCUGCUUUAUUUAUUGUUUAGGACUCAACUGUGUUACAUUACUGAAAGGAUAUUGAUAAAUGAUACUCACCACGCUGUGGAGAGACAGCAGCACUGUGAACAAAAGCAGCAUAAAAUAAUGUUUAUUAUUUAGUUUACUUUUCUCAUGUUUAAUUCAACCCAGCGUCCUGUUUUAAUUGCUUGAUUCUCAUAUUUAAAUACGAUCGUAUCCGGCACAAAAUGUUGGUUCUGAUGGUGUGUGUGACAAUCGUUUGAAUAUAAAUGUUGUAAUCUUUAUUUAUUCUGUUUUUACUAAUAUUUUAACUAGAAUUAAUUUGACAGCAACAUGUAAAACCACCCUAAUAAAUCAUGCAGUUUGGGAACAAAGGAGGGAGGAUGAUCACCAGACGGACCUGUGAGGUUUUGACUACCCAGAAUGCAUCUUGUUGGUCGAGUGACCCAGUUAUCUACCUGGUGGAUUAGUGGUUAAAAUACCAGAAUAUUUAUUUAUCCUGGAACAGCGAUGUCGGCGAGAGGCCCUGCUCUCACUCGGAUUACAGAGACACACUCGAAAAGUAGAACGUGCUGAGAUUUAUUAUCAGUUUACUGACCUAUAUUAUUAACAUCCAUUUUAAAACUGCUGAUAAAUAUUAUGCCAACAUGUAUGGAAAAAAUGCUGCGCUCCGUUGCUAUGGAUACGCACUUAAUUUGGAUUUUUGGCUUCUUUAAAAGGGUAAUUUGGUUGGUGUUAUGUUUUACAACAAAAAGUAUCUGCUGCAGCAGGUCAACAUCACCACACACAACACAUUUAAACCCAAAUAAUACUUUCGGUGUCCUUUUUGUCACCGUAGUUUGUGUACCAAGACAAGAUAAGAGCUUUCUUGAUAAUAAUGUAGCCCGAUCAAACAUUGGGAUGUGAGCGAGCCGGUUCUGCCUCUCAGUGGAAGCAGAAACGUGCUUUGUUCACAACAAGAGGCAGAUAAAGAAGACAAAUCCCGCCGACUCACUCGCAGCCAAAAAAAAGGUUUAGCUCCUGUUUACUCAGAGCGGGACGGUGGAUUGUGGGAUUGCACGGAUUAUGUAAUCACACACACACACACACACACACAAAUAAAGGAUGCGGUGGCUUUUGGCCAAAGGGAGAUUUUGCAGUUUCUCUCUCCUUUUACAAUCUGCAGCGGCCCACUAUAAUAAAUGGCAAACCGACACCUUCAUGCACAUCCAGCAGACAAAGACACUCAUCUGUGUUCCCCUCAAACAAAGUGUGAACUGAACAAUUCUGCAAAAGCCUGAAACAUACGGAUUCAUUUCAGGUCCAACGUUUGUAAGAUUCUUGCUUUCUGCUACAAAGUCAUGGUUUUGGUAAAUGAGUUAAAAUCACUUUAUUAGAAAGUAACUUUAACACCGCCACAGUUAUUUAAAUUUACAGAGAACACAAACACCUGCAUGAAAGUUAUUUGAAGC
ensembl:lncRNA